ACUGUUCAUUUUACAUUUAAUGGCUGGCAAUAUCAACAGUUGCUGAAGUUACGAGAAAUCAGUAAUAAACGAUAAAGGAUUAAUAAUUUAUGACAUAGGUCAUAGCACUCGUCCAUGUCGUCUAAUAUUAAAGCUUAUCAUAAGUAUAGCACUAGCAGGUAAGAAUAAUUUCUUUACAUGAUUGCUAAUAAGUUCUGAGUUUCACAGCCCAUUGAAUAGAAAUGUCAUAUUUUAGGUAUGUAUAAUAAAAGCCAACACUUGUUAGUAUUCUUUUUUUUUCUUUACAUGUGUGUGUUUUUAUUUAUCUCGUGGCCACGAGAUAUUAUGUCGUGGUCACGAGAUAUUAUGUCGUGGUCACGAGAUACUAUGUCGUGGCCAUGAGUUACUAAGUCACAGUGACGCUAAAUGUAAAAUUAGCGACAAGUCAAUAAGUUGUAUAAAUUGCACUUUUACAGGCUGGUGAAGUAGGGGUAUCCUUGUACUACAGCACAUGUCUAGUUAAUUGGGGAAAGUAACAUAAAUGGUGUAAUCUGAUUGGUUAUUUAUCACGUGGCCACGACUUAGCUAUCUCGUGGCCAUGACAUAGUAUCUCGUGGCCACGACUUAGCUAUCUCGUGGCCACGACUUAGUAACUCGUGGCUACGACAUAGUAUCUCGUGGCCACGAGAAAAAAAAACACACACACACAUGUCACAUUUGUGCCACCGUAAAAAUCAUAUAAGAUCUAGAUAUAUUUUUAUCAAAGUAAUUUUAUUUCAAGCACAUCCAUGAAGCAAUUUUCGACUUUCUUUCAUUGCAGGUUCUUAUUGGACUUUGAUACCUCGCAAAAGGCGAUUUCAUAUCAGAAGUUGGAGACCUCCACGGGGUGUCUAAAGCCAGAGCUGCCAUUUACAUUCACCAAUUCAUACGAAGUGUAAACCUUCGAUUAAAGAAUAUUAGACACAUUUAGAACAAAGUAAUAAUGGAUUGUUAUUGGGGGAUAGUGGGUACCCUCUAAGGAGGUACAUGUACCUAUUGACCCCAAAGGUGAAUCGACAACACCACAAGAGGAAGCCUUCAAUAAACACCAUAGCAGAGGCAGAAUGGUGGUAGAAAAAGCCUUUGGUAUACUGAAGUCACGUUUCAGAUGCCUACACAAAAGUGGUGGUGUUCUACCGUUUUCACCAGAAAAGAGCAGCCAAGUUGUGGUAGCAUGUAUGAGGCUACAUAACUUUUGUAAAACUAGAGGAGUACAAGAGCCUGUGGAGAUCAUCACACAGGAU